CGACCCUUUCAGUGUCGUAGCUAACGCGUUAAAUAUACCGCCUGGGAAGUACGGCCGCAAGGCUAAAACUCAAAGGAAUAGACGGGGAUCCGCACAAGUGGAGGAUCAUGUGGUUCAAUUCGACGAUAAGCGAGAAACCUCACCAGGGCUUGAAACUAAGCUGCAAGGCCAAGAAAUUGGUCCGCCUUCGAGGGUGCUUAGCAGGUGCUGCAUGGUUGUCGUCAGCUCGUGUCGUAAGAUGUUCCGUUAAGUCGGGAAACGAGCGCAACCCCUGUCGUGUGUUAUAUAUGUCACACGAGACUGCCCAGACUUUUGAGCACAAGCUCAAAAAUGUAUCAUGUAUUUUGUAGUAUGUAUUAUGUAUGAAUUGAAUUUAUACAUUAUACUUUAUACAUUAUACUUUAUACUUUUUUGUUCGCUUGCGAACAAAAGUCUGGGAGGAAGGAGGGGAUGACGUCAAAUCAGCAUGGCCCUUUGACGCCCUGGGCGACACACGUGAUACAAUGGCCGGUACAGAGGGUUGCCAAACCGCGAGGUGGAGCUAAUCCCGAAUACGUUCUCGGAUCUUGUACUCACCGCCCGUCACACCAAGAGAGUCGGUAACACCCGAAGGCCCCGGGUUAAAUCGGGGACAACGGUGGGAUCGAUGAUAAGGGUGAAGUCGUAACAAGGCAUCCGUAGCGGAAGCUGUGGAUGGAUCACCUCCUUU
rnacentral:ncRNA from 1 species